AGCAGCCGCCGCGGUAAUACGAAGGGUGCAAGCGUUACUCGGAAUUACUGGGCGUAAAGCGUGCGUAGGUGGUGGUUUAAGUCCGUUGUGAAAGCCCUGGGCUCAACCUGGGAAUUGCAGUGGAUACUGGGUCACUAGAGUGUGGUAGAGGAUAGUGGAAUUUCCGGUGUAGCAGUGAAAUGCGUAGAGAUCGGAAGGAACAUCUGUGGCGAAGGCGACUAUCUGGGCCAACACUGUCACUGAGGCACGAAAGCGUGGGGAGCAAACAGGAUUAGAUACCCCCGUAGUCCCUGUCUCUUAUAC
rnacentral:rRNA from 1 species